GAUGAACGCUGGCGGCGUGCCUAAUACAUGCAAGUCGAGCGAACGGACGAGAAGCUUGCUUUUCUGAUGUUAGCGGCGGACGGGUGAGUAACACGUGGAUAACCGACCUAUAAGACUGGGAUAACUUCGGGAAACCGGAGCUAAUACCGGAUAAUAUUUUGAACCGCAUGGUUCAAAAGUGAAAGACGGUCUUGCUGUCACUUAUAGAUGGAUCCGGGCUGCAUUAGCUAGUUGGUAAGGUAACGGCUUACCAAGGCAACGAUGCAUAGCCGACCUGAGAGGGUGAUCGGCCACACUGGAACUGAGACACGGUCCAGACUCCUACGGGAGGCAGCAGUAGGGAAUCUUCCGCAAUGGGCGAAAGCCUGACGGAGCAACGCCGCGUGAGUGAUGAAGGUCUUCGGAUCGUAAAACUCUGUUAUUAGGGAAGAACAUAUGUGUAAGUAACUGUGCACAUCUUGACGGUACCUACUCAGAAAGCCACGGCUAACUACGUG
rnacentral:rRNA from 1 species